GACGAACGCUGGCGGCGUGCCUAAUACAUGCAAGUAGAACGCUGAAGAGAGGAGCUUGCUCUUCUUGGAUGAGUUGCGAACGGGUGAGUAACGCGUAGGUAACCUGCCUUGUAGCGGGGGAUAACUAUUGGAAACGAUAGCUAAUACCGCAUAACAAUGAGUGACACAUGUCAUUUAUUUGAAAGGGGCAAUUGCUCCACUACAAGAUGGACCUGCGUUGUAUUAGCUAGUAGGUGAGGUAACGGCUCACCUAGGCGACGAUACAUAGCCGACCUGAGAGGGUGAUCGGCCACACUGGGACUGAGACACGGCCCAGACUCCUACGGGAGGCAGCAGUAGGGAAUUUUCGGCAAUGGGGGCAACCCUGACCGAGCAACGCCGCGUGAGUGAAGAAGGUUUUCGGAUCGUAAAGCUCUGUUGUAAGUCAAGAACGAGUGUGAGAGUGGAAAGUUCACACUGUGACGGUAGCUUACCAGAAAGGGACGGCUAACUACGUGCCAGCAGCCGCGGUAAUACGUAGGUCCCGAGCGUUGUCCGGAUUUAUUGGGCGUAAAGCGAGCGCAGGCGGUUUGAUAAGUCUGAAGUUAAAGGCUGUGGCUCAACCAUAGUUCGCUUUGGAAACUGUCAAACUUGAGUGCAGAAGGGGAGAGUGGAAUUCCAUGUGUAGCGGUGAAAUGCGUAGAUAUAUGGAGGAACACCGGUGGCGAAAGCGGCUCUCUGGUCUGUAACUGACGCUGAGGCUCGAAAGCGUGGGGAGCGAACAGG
rnacentral:rRNA from 1 species